CAUCCACUAGGUACACUGGGGAAGAUAGACAUCCACUAGGUACAUAUCACAGCACUGGGGAAGAUAGACAUCCACUAGGUACAUAUCACAGCACUGGGGAAGAUAGACAUCCACUAGGUACACUGGGGAAGAUAGACAUCCACUAGGUACAUAUCACAGCACUGGGGAAGAUAGACAUCCACUAGGUACAUAUCACAGCACUGGGGAAGAUAGACAUCCACUAGGUACACUGGGGAAGAUAGACAUCCACUAGGUACAUAUCACAGCACUGGGGAAGAUAGACAUCCACUAGGUAUACUGGGGAAGAUAGACAUCCACUAGUUACAUAUCACAGCACUGGGGAAGAUAGACAUCCACUAGGUACAUAUCACAGCACUGGGGAAGAUAGACAUCCACUAGGUACACUGGGGAAGAUAGACAUCCACUAGGUACAUAUCACAGCACUGGGGAAGAUAGACAUCCACUAGGUACAUAUCACAGCACUGGGGAAGAUAGACAUCCACUAGGUACA